CUACUCAUGCCUCAAGCUACCUGUAAUGAAAAUCCAUUGUCUGCCACCUGUCUCAUAGAUCUGUCCUGAGGAUUAAUGGGAUAAUGUCUGGAGAGCCAUGUGAAGCCUUUGGAAGGAGAUUGCAGAUUCCUAUUUAAGCCUUAAAAAAUUAAAUUACAACAUGUUUGUGUCAUCAAAUAUUUUGACCUGUUAUUUGGAUUUUUUAUCGUUACUUUGGAGAGUCCUGCCCAAUCUGAGACAGGAUUCUUACUUUGAGUAGCCAACUUGCAGAAUACAAUAGAAUUUGGGGAGGAGCCCCUCGAUGCCUGGAUUUACUGUUGGAGAGACAGUACAGUAUACACCAGAUGACUUAUCUGUGAACCAUGGAAACGUUUGGAAAGGACUCCUCCCCUGCAAUCUCCCUCUUAGAGACCGCGUCUCUGCCCUCUCAACCCGGAGGUAGACUAAAGCUUGGCUAAUCAAAGCAUCCAGUGCCUUUGACCACAGUAAGAGCUGGAAGACUGGGCACAUGGCCUCUUCAGAGCCGCUGAGAUGGAAGAGAAUUUUUGCUGAAACUUCUGGGAAAGAAAUGAACUUUCCUGCUGGACUUUAUUCAUGAGAAGAUGUAAGUCUGAGGCUGCUUCAGCCAUAUUCCACGGGAGAUCGGAACAAAUAUGGUGGACAAUAAU
rnacentral:lncRNA from 10 species